ensembl:lncRNA
GAAUUACCAGUCCUCCUUCUAAAAUGUUAUAAAUCUGCAUUUAUCUAUCCUGUGGAUUACCAAAUAUUUUUAUUUAAUCACUUUAUUUCAGCAAGAAUGAAUAUCAGGUGCGUACUGUAAUACUGUUAAAUUGUGGGGCUAGAUUACGGAUGAUAUGGGAUCACUUGAUGUAUAUGUGUGUGUGCGUGUGUGUGUGUGUGUGUGUGUGUGGGUGGGGCCAUCCUUGUACAGAUGUAUGGGAUGAUAUUGCAGUGUUCUUUAAAAAUCUCUGUGAUUCUUAUACCAUAUAUACGACUGGUCAAAGGUUGGGACACAUGCUCAAAAUAAGGUAUUUAUUUGUACUAUUGUCUACUAUUUCAGUACAAUCAUGAAGAUACUGGCACUAUGAAAUAACGUGUUAUAAGUUAGUGUCUAUAAAUUCUUAGUAAAUUCUUAAGCAUUCACACACCCUUGGCAUGUUCUCAACCAGCUUCACGAGCGAGUUUCACCCAAACGAGCUUUUCUUGAAGUUCCCAAGGGCACUUUUUAAAUUCGAAAGGUCUAAAUAAAAACUACUUGUCAGGGGAAACAAUUUCAUUUGAAGUCACAACUACUUGUCUUUACAUAAAACUAUAUUUUCAUUCUUUAAUAAAUGAAUGCCAAGUGAACUUGGGCAUUAGUUCACUAUUUAGUUUUGUCUUAGAAAUGAGUUUCAACCAUAAGGCUUUAUCUAAAUGUCCUUUUGAAUUGUAGUGCAGCUUAUCAAAUCAACUGUGUAGAAAUGUAUGUAAAUUUCCUAUAAUUUGUAUCACCGUGCUAAUCUUAUGAUACAGGUUAGUUGGUUAUGAACAUUUAUGAAGAAUUGGUGUCUUGCUUGGAAAAAAAAAAAAAGAGCUUAUUUUUCCACCAGCCCUGAAAGUUUAUGACACUUAUUAUAUGACUAAGAUGUUUAAUGUUAUUAAUUUUCGUGAAAUAACCAGCUCGGUUUUGUCUACCCAGAUGAGUGGAACCUUUUCAGCUCAAGCUUAAAGCGUUUUUUUUUUUUCCCUGUCCAUAUUUUAUCAUAUUUUUUUAAAAUCAUAUUUUAAAUGAAUUAAUAAACACUCAAGCUAAAUUCACAUUGAAUUGACUUUGUUAAAAUGCUUUUACAGAAGACUGUAGGUUCAGUUUUGAACAUGGGCUUCACAGUGCAGUGUGAAUUUCUGUCAAAUCAUGGAUUUUCUCUCAUCCUGACCGCUUUUUUUUUUUUUUACGUUUACAUUUAUUACUUUAGCAGACGUUUUUAUCCAAAGCGACUUACAAUUGAGGAAAUACCAGCAAAAUAUAAUUUUUUUCUAUUAAUACUAUUUUUAUUCUAGUAGAUUCUAAUCUGUAAACUAUUAUAUGAUACUGAUUCCAUUGUCCAGGUAGACAUUCAGGAAGGAUUCUCUAACCUAUACAGAUAACCUAAAUUCAGCUCCCUCUGAACAGAGUUGAGGUACAGGAACAGUGCUCAGAUGGGCUCUGAUUAAUAUAGGAACUGCUGUCAGAGAUAUAUUGUCAGGAGACAAGACCUGGCAGAUGAUUCUGUUUAACACAUGCAGCUUUGGGAAAUAUGACUCAACUGCAUGGCAGGUGACAGCUGUGUGUGUGUGUGUGUGUGUGUGUGUGUGUGUGUGUGUGUGUGUGUGUGUGUGUGUGUGUGGGAGAGAGAGAGAGAGAGGGGGUGGGGGGUGGGGUGGGAGUGUGUGUGUGUGUGUGUGUGUGUGUGUGUGUGUGGGGGUGGGAGAGAUAGAGAGUGUGUAUGAUUACAGAGAGUGUGAGUGUGUCUCUCACUGUUUGUAUGAGUGUACAAAAAAUAAACUUUAUAAGAAGAGGUGUUGGUCAGUAAAUCUGUUUUAGAGUAGAUUGGAGACGCUAGACUCCAACCCUAACCCCUAAACUUGUCGUAGGUGGAUUGUCUACAGUAAACUGCCCCUCCGUGUUGAUUAGUGUGCAUGGACUCACAUCCAUGGUGUGUUCCAUCUGAGAUUCCCAGAUCCAGAUUCACAGUGACCCUAUACAGGAUAAAGUGAAUACUGAAGGUGACCAAGAAAACAAUAACAGUGUUUCUAGACAAUCGUGGGUGUCUGUGAACUGCCUUUUUUUUUUCCUCAGAUGUAUUCCUGAUGGAGCUUUACACACUCCUCUCAAUCACCAUCAUGUUCUAAAUGAGCACUGCUUGAAAUUAGACUACUUUCCAAAACAAUUGCACACUAUAUAUUUUGAUCAGGAACUACAUUUAUACAUGUGCAUUAACUUCACUGCUUACAGUUGUAUUAUAAUACAUUUCAACCAUAACCUUUACAUGAAAAUUUCAUUAGACAGUGAAAAUAUACACUCACCAUCUACUUUAAUAGGAACACCUGUACACCUGCUCAUUUAUGGAGUUAUCCAGUCAGCGAUCAUGUGGCAGCAUCACCAUGCAUACAAUCAUACAGUCAUCGGUCAAGAGCUUCACUUAAUUACAGAUACAUUUAUAUAGCGCUUUUCUAGACACUCAAGACGCUUUACAUAGUACUGGGGAGGGGGGUGGAAUCUCCUCAACCACCACUAAUGUGUAGCAUCCACCUGGAUGAUGCGAUGGCAGCCAUAGUGGGCCAUAAAUCCUACCGCACACCAGCUAUUUUAGUGAAGAGGAGAGAGUGAUGUAGCCAAUUCAGAGAUGGGGAUUAUAGGGGGCCAAUGGGGGAAUUUCACCAGGACACCUGGUGUUAUACCCCUAUUCUUUAUGCAAAGUGUCCUGGGAUUUUUGAUGACCACAGAGAGUCAGGACCUCCGUUUAAGGUCUCAUCCAAAAGUAAAUGCUGUUUUUUUUUUUUUACAAUAUAGUGUCCCUGUCGCUAUUCUGGGGUAUUAGGACCCUGGGGUCCACAGGGCGAGCACCCCCUGCAGUCCUCACUAACACCACUUCCAGCAGCAACUUUAAAUUUCCCCAGGAGGUCUCCUAUCCAGUACAGCUGGGUGACUAGGAACAGGAAAUUGUUCAACAGGAUCGUUCCACAGAGUGGCCAAAAAAUCUCCAAGGAUCACAGCUGGAGAAUUGCAGAAGUUAGUUGCGUCUUGGGGUCAGAAAGUAUUCAAAAAUAACAAUCCAAAGUCAUCUACAUCACCACAAGGUGUUUGAAUGGGUUUCAAGAAAAAAGCCUCUACUGGAAGACUGGAAGACACUACUGGAACUUCAAAUGGGAUCGGGUUCUAUGGUCAGAUGAAACCAAAAUAAUGCUUUUUGGUAAUAAACACAGAGGUGGUUUUGGAGCACACAGAGAGGUAGCCGUAUGGAAAAGUUCCUCAUGCCCACGGUUAAAUAUGGAGGAGGAUCUUUAAUGUUUUGGGCUGUUUUUCUGCAGAGGACCUGGACAUUUUGUUAGGAUACAUGGCAUCAUGGACUCCAUCAAAUAUCAACAGAUAUUAAAUGAAAAUCUGACUGCCUCUGUCGGAAAAAUUCAAAUGGGCCGUGGUUGGAUCUUCCAGCAGGACAAUGAUCCAAAACAUCAUCAACAUCAACACAGAAAUGGUUUACUGACCACAAAAUCAAGGUCCUGCCAUGACCAUCCCAGUCCCCUGACCUGAACCCCAUAGAACACCUGUGGGGUGAACUGAAGAGGAGAGUCCACCAGCGUGGACCUCAAAAUGUGAAGGAUCUGGAGAGAUUCUGUAUGGAGGAACGCUCUCAGAUCCCUCGCCAUGUAUUCUCCAACCUCAUCAGCGUUAUAGGAGAAGACUCCGAGCUGUUAUCUUGGCAAAGGGACGUAGCACAACAUAUUGAUUUAAAGGGUGCCAAUAAUUGUGGCACACGUAUAUUUAUCUUUUUUUUUUUGAUAAACCUGUGUUUUGUUUGCAGUUGUUUGAUAUCCAUGAGAGCAGAGUGUUUUUGUGAAUUUCUUUUAACAAAAGAUCAAAUGGUUAAACAGUAAAAUUUCUCACAGACUUCUUUGCUCAUAUUUACCAAGGGUGUCAAUAUUAAUGAAGGGCACUGUGUGUGUGUGUGUGUGUGUGUGUGUGUGUGUGUGUGUGUGUGUGUGUAUAGAAAUGGCCCUUUACAGGAGACUGUAUUUCAAAGAUAGUUUUGUAAAAUCCAAAUAAUCUUUAGAGAUCUUUAUUGGAAAGGGUUUAAACGAGGGUUUUCAUGCUUGUUCGAUGAACCAUAAAUGAUUACUCACAUGCACCUGUGGAACAGUCCUUAAUACACGAACAGUUUACAGGCGCUAGGCAGGGUUUCCUCCGGGUACUCCGGUUUCCUCCCCCAGUCCAAACACAUGCAUGGUAGGCUGAUUGGCGUGUCCAAAGUGUCCGUAGUGUAUGAAUGGGUGUGUGAGUGUGUAUGUGAUUGUGCCCUGUGAUGGAUUGGCACCCCGUCCAGGGUGUACCCCGUCUUGUGCCCGGCACUCCCUGCAAUAGCUUCCAGGUUCCCUGCGACCCUAUAGGAUAAGUGGUAUAGAAAAUGGAUGGAUCAGAAUUUCUAAAACUAGAUAAAGAGAACCCAAUUAAUAAAACAAAUCAGACAAAAAUAUUAUACUUGGUCAUUUAUUUAUUGAGGCAAAUGAUCCAAUAAUACAUAUCUGUAAGUGGCAAAAGUAUGUAUACCUUCGCUUUCAGUAUCUGGUGUGACCCACUUGUGCAGCAAUAACUGCAACUACACAGUUCCAUGCCCCACUUUCUCUUGAGAUUGAGUUCACAGACAGAUGCUCUGAUAUUUUCCUUUAGAAUUUGCUGGUAUAAUUCAGAAUUCAUUGUUCCAGAUGCAGCAAAACACCCCCAAACCAUGAUAUUACCACCACCACAUUUUACAGAUGGUAUAAGGUUCUUAGGCUGGAAUGUAGUGUUUUCCUUUUUCCAAACAUAGCCCUUCUCAUUUAAACCACAAAUUCUAUUUUUGUCUCAUCUAUCCACAAAAUAUUUUUCCAACAGCCUUCUGGCUUGUCCACAUGAUGUUUAGCAAACUUCAGACAGGCAGCAUUGUUCUUUUUGGAGAGCAGUGGUUUUCUCCUUGAAACCCUGCCAUGCACACCAUUGUUGUUCAGUGUUCUCUUUAUGUUGGACUCAAGAACAUUAACAUUAGCCAAUGUGAGAGAAGCCUUUAGUUGCUUAGAAGUUACCCUGGGUUCCUUUGUGACCUCACGGACUAUUACACGUCUUGCUCUCGGAGUGAUCUUUCUUGGUCAACCACUCCUGUGGAGGGUAACAAUGGUCUUGAAUUUCCGCCAUUUGUACACCAUCUGUCUGACUGUGGAUUGGUGGAGUCCAAACUCUUUAGAGAUGGUUUUGUGACCUUUUCCAGCCUGAUAAGCAACAACAACUCUUUUCCUGAGGUCCUCAGAAAUCUCCUUUGUUCAUGCUAUGAUACACUUCCACAAACAUGUGUCGUGAAGAUCAGACAUUAAUAGAUCCCUGUUACAGGACACUCACUCACACCUGAUUGUCAUCCCAUUGAUUGAAAACACCCCACUCUAAUUUCACCUUUCAAUUCAACUGCUAAUCCUAGAGGGUCACAUACUUUUGCCACUCAUAGAUACCUAAUAUUGGAUCUUUUUCAUUAAUAAAUAAAUGACCGAGUAUUUUUGUCUCAUUUGUUUCAUUUGGUUCUCUUUAUGUACUUUUAGGACUUGUGUGAAAAUCUGAUGACGUUUUAGGCCAUAUUUAUGACAUUCUUAAAGGGUUCACAAACUUUCAAGCACCACUGUAUUCCACAAUAAAAUCGUGAAAUCCUGAUUUUAAAAAGAUUUACAAUUCCUAGAAAAAUACUUAGUAGGCUCAAGAGCAGAAUAAUUGGAUUAUUAGUAAUCAGUUACAGCACAGCCCAGAUUUUCUAAAACGAAACUGUAUAUUUAUAUAAGCAAGACCUUUAUA